rnacentral:rRNA from 1 species
GACGAACGCUGGCGGCGUGCCUAAUACAUGCAAGUCGAGCGAAGUUUUUCUGGUGCUUGCACUAUAAAAACUUAGCGGCGAACGGGUGAGUAACACGUAAAGAACCUGCCUCAUAGACUGGGACAACUAUUGGAAACUAUAGCUAAUACCGGAUAACAGUAUUUCUCGCAUGAGAGAUAUUUAAAAGUUGGUUAUGCUAACACUAUGAGAUGGCUUUGCGGUGCAUUAGCUAGUUGGUGGGGUAAAGGCCCACCAAGGCGACGAUGCAUAGCCGACCUGAGAGGGUGAUCGGCCACACUGGAACUGAGACACGGCCCAGACUCCUACGGGAGGCAGCAGUAGGGAAUCUUCCGCAAUGGGCGAAAGCCUGACGGAGCAACGCCGCGUGAGUGAAGAAGGAUUUCGGUUCGUAAAGCUCUGUUGUUAGGGAAGAAUGGAUAUGUAGUAACUAUACAUGUAAGAGACGGUACCUAACCAGAAAGCCACGGCUAACUACGUG